UACAGAAUCCUCAAGCGUUACCCGGAUUUAUUGGGCGUAAAGGGUUCGUAGGUGGUAAAGUAAGUUUCGAGUUAAACCUCAUCGGCUUAACCUUUGAGCUGCUCGAAAUACUGCUUUACUUGAGGGCGUUAGGGGUUAGCGGAACCGACGGAGUAGGGGUGAAAUCCGUUGAUAUCGUCGGGAACACCAAAAGCGAAGGCAGCUAACUAGGACGACCCUGACACUGAGGAACGAAAGCGUGGGGA
rnacentral:rRNA from 1 species